UCAAAUGCAACGAAGAGAAGAGUAAAUAGUUGUGUUCUUUCGCAGAGAGCUCCGCUAGCUGAAAAGGAGUAAAGAGUCCUCUAUUGAAAAAAGCCUCUGAGCAGCACAUCGGAACUGCAACCACAGGUGAUGAUGUGACAGGAGCUCCUGUUACAGAGCUGGAGUAUAAGCAUGGUAAGGUCAUGCCGUACUCGAGAAGGCUAAUAUGGCGACAUAUUAGCGAAUUUGGGGUGGUACCACGAGGAUACAAAUCUCGUCCCUGAG
rnacentral:ncRNA from 1 species